rnacentral:lncRNA from 1 species
GAAAAAGCUAACCUCAGGCCUCUUGUUCUGGAUGCUGAUAUGUCUAUCAGGUUCUUAGGCUGUCUCUGCAGUCUGUAUUCCUGCCCUUCAGCCUCAGCACGAAGCUCUGGCUGAAUUAGAGGAAGGAGAAAGACCUCUGAAUUCUUGCAGGUCAGUGUUUGGGGUGAGGUGAGAAAUGGUGGUAUGGGUGUGGCAGAGACCAGAAGCAGAAUACCUUCCCCUAAAUCUUUUCCUUCUUUUAGAUACUUUUGUUCUGGGCUUCCCUUUUUGGUGCAGAAAUGGGGGCAUGUGGUAUCUGCCUUUGUAAGUUGGAGGAGAAUAGAGGGAGUCCUAAGGGAUAAUUUUUUGGCCCACCAGAAUGCAAGUCAGGGGAGAAAGAACAAUCUGCUUACCCAAGGUUCACAACCACCUGUCAUCUAUUCACAGAUCCGUCUACCUUUAGGCCCUGCAGCCACAAGCAGAGUGGAAAUUGCUCCUGAUCCCAGGAAGCUGGUAUGUACAUGAACACUAUCUUAGGACAUUCGAAUGGGGAUAGGGAUAUUGUAGGUGAAUCUCCAAUUUACCCCUCUCUGCCAGCCCUCCAUAAUAUCCCCUCCCCAUUUAGGAACAAGUAAAUUAUGGGUAGUGGCCCUGGGAAGGUGAACUAGAGUUGAAGAUCCAACCUGCAGCUAAUGUCUAAAUCAGCAAGCACAGGCUAUGACACCUGUGUCCCCAAACUCUCUUCUCAGGUUAAACACAGUAAGCCUAAAAUCCUGUGCCU